rnacentral:rRNA from 1 species
UAGCGUAGGGACCAAGCGUUGUUCGGAUUUACUGGGACGUAAAGGGCGCGUAGGCGGCAUGACAAGUCACUUGUGAAAUCUCCCGGGCUUAACUCGGAACGGCCAAGUGAUACUGUCGCGCUAGAGUGCAGAAGGGGCAAUCGGGAAUUCUUGGAUGUAGCGGUGAAAUGCGUAGAUAUCAAGAGGAACACCUGAGGUGAAGACGGGUUGCUGGGCUGACACUGACGCUGGAGGCGACGAAAGCCUAGGGUAGCAAACGGG